UACGUAGGGGGCAAGCGUUAUCCGGAUUUACUGGGUGUAAAGGGAGCGUAGACGGUGAUGCAAGUCAGAAGUGAAAGCCCGGGGCUCAACUCCGGGACUGCUUUUGAAACUGUGUAACUGGAGUGCAGGAGAGGUAAGCGGAAUUCCUAGUGUAGCGGUGAAAUGCGUAGAUAUUAGGAGGAACACCAGUGGCGAAGGCGGCUUACUGGACUGUAACUGACGUUGAGACUCGAAAGCGUGGGGAGCAAACAGG
rnacentral:rRNA from 1 species